rnacentral:rRNA from 1 species
UACGUAGGGGGCAAGCGUUGUCCGGAAUCAUUGGGCGUAAAGCGCGCGUAGGCGGCCCGGUAAGUCCGUUGUAAAAGUCAAAGGCUCAACCUUUGAAAGCCGAUGGAUACUGCCGGGCUAGAAUCCGGAAGAGGCGAGUGGAAUUCCUGGUGUAGCGGUGGAAUGCGCAGAUAUCAGGAGGAACACCAAUAGCGAAGGCAGCUCGCUGGGACGGUAUUGACGCUAAGGCGCGAAAGCGUGGG